rnacentral:rRNA from 1 species
UAGGGAAUCUUCCGCAAUGGGCGAAAGCCUGACGGAGCAACGCCGCGUGAGUGAUGAAGGUCUUCGGAUCGUAAAACUCUGUUAUUAGGGAAGAACAAAUGUGUAAGUAACUAUGCACGUCUUGACGGUACCUAAUCAGAAAGCCACGGCUAACUACGUGCCAGCAGCCGCGGUAAUACGGAGGUGGCAAGCGUUAUCCGGAAUUAUUGGGCGUAAAGCGCGCGUAGGCGGUUUUUUAAGUCUGAUGUGAAAGCCCACGGCUCAACCGUGGAGGGUCAUUGUAAACUGGAAAACUUGAGUGCAGAAGAGGAAAGUGGAAUUCCAUGUGUAGCGGUGAAAUGCGCAGAGAUAUGGAGGAACACCAGUGGCGAAGGCGACUUUCUGGUCUGUAACUGACGCUGAUGUGCGAAAGCGUGGGGAUCAAACAGG